UAAGAGCCUACCAAGGCGACGAUCGGUAGCUGGUCUGAGAGGACCAGCAGCCACGCUGGGGUUGACAACGGCCCAUACUCCUACGGGGGGCAGCAGUGAGGAAUUUUCCGCAAUGGGCGCAAGCCUGACGCAGCACCGCCGCGUGAGGGACGAAGGCCUUCGGGUUGUAAACCUCUUUCAGCAGGGACGAUUGUGACGGUACCUGCAGAAGAAGCCCCGGCCAACUACGUGCCAGCAGCCGCGGUAAUACGUAGGGGGCGAGCGUUGUCCGGAUUCAUUGGUCGUAAAGAGCUCGUAGGCGGGUUGAUAAGUCGGUUGUGAAAACCUCCGGAUCAACCUGACGACGCUACUCGAUACUGCGAUGACUAGCGUCCGGUAGGGCCCCCACAGUACUGCUGUUGUAGCGAUGUAAAUG
rnacentral:rRNA from 1 species